CUAAGGCUCCAGAGGAAGCCACGGCUAACUCUGUGCCAGCAGCCGCGGCAAUACAGAGGCGGCAAGCGUUGUUCGGAAUUAUUGGGCGUAAAGAGCACGUAGGCGGCCUUGCAAGUCAGUUGUGAAAGCCUUCCGCUUAACGGAAGAAUGCCAGCUGAUACUACAGGGCUUGAGUACGGGAGGGGAGAGUGGAACUUCUGGUGGAGCGGUGAAAUGCGUAGAUAUCAGAAGGAACGCCGGCGGCGAAAGCGACUCUCUGGCCCGAAACUGACGCUGAGUGUGCGAAAGCUAGGGGAGCAAACGGGAUUAGAUACCCCGGUAGUCCUAGCCGUAAA
rnacentral:rRNA from 1 species